CAAGGAGGCCCUCUGGGCACUACUGUAAAAAGGAGACUCCCACUGCCGACACCCAAAGCUGCCAAGACAUCCCUCUCCCCACCAACGCCUUCCAGCUCCUCCCAAGGCUUCGCCAAACCAGACGUACCUGCAUCCCACACACGGACCACCUCAGCACGUUCCUUUUGACACAAAGCAGAAGCUGUUCCCAUCGCUCAGCGCAGCAAAACACUAGGGAGGAAAAUCACGUUGGCAGCUCGGCCUCUACACAAAGCUCAUGACCAUUGGUGUCUUUCAGAUUCUGGUGUGCUACGCUAACAGAAGCAAAUGUAGCCUGAUUAGGCAGAGAUGAAGAGCUUCCAAGGUCUGCCCUCAACCACGGCUGCAGUUUCACCAAUCUAUUUUGGAUUUAGCCGGACGAGUCUGUGAAGGGUGUUUAAUGAGUGGUUAUCACCC